UAGAAUUCCAGGUCUAGCGGUGAAAUGCGUAGAGAUCUGGAGGAAUACCGGUGGCGAAGGCGGCCCCCUGGACAAAGACUGACGCUCAGGUGCGAAAGCGUGGGGAGCAAACAGGAUUAGAUACCCUGGUAGUCCACGCCGUAAACGAUGUCGACUUGGAGGUUGUGCCCUUGAGGCGUGGCUUCCGGAGCUAACGCGUUAAGUCGACCGCCUGGGGAGUACGGCCGCAAGGUUAAAACUCAAAUGAAUUGACGGGGGCCCGCACAAGCGGUGGAGCAUGUGGUUUAAUUCGAUGCAACGCGAAGAACCUUACCUACUCUGGACAUCCAGAGAACUUACCAGAGAUGSUUUGGUGCCUUCGGGAACUCUGAGACAGGUGCUGCAUGGCUGUCGUCAGCUCGUGUUGUGAAAUGUUGGGUUAAGUCCCGCAACGAGCGCAACCCUUAUCCUUUGUUGCCAGCGGAUUAGGCCGGGAACUCAAAUGAGACUGCCAGUGAUAAACUGGAGGAAGGUGGGGAUGACGUCAAGUCAUCAUGGCCCCUACGAGUAGGGCUACACACGUGCUACAAUGGCGCAUACAAAGAGAAGCGACCUCGCGAGAGCAAGCGGACCUCAUAAAGUGCGUCGUAGUCCGGAUUGGAGUCUGCAACUCGACUCCAUGAAGUCGGAAUCGCUAGUAAUCGUGGAUCAGAAUGCCACGGUGAAUACGUUCCC
rnacentral:rRNA from 1 species